rnacentral:rRNA from 1 species
GACUGACUUUAUUUAUGUUGAUCUUUUUUUAUGGGUUUAGAUUUAUUAUAGGGUGUUUUAGUGAAGAGUAAAAUUUGCGGUUUUAUGUUAUUUUUAUUUGAUACAGACUAUGGUUUAUAGUUAUAGCUUAGUUAUAUACGGGAAUUAGAUACUCCUUUAUAAAAGUUGUAAAUUUUUAUUUUCUCAGUUUUAACUGAAAAGAAUUGGCAGCUAGUAAUAUUCUUCGGGGGGAUUGUGUUGUUUAAAUAGAUGGUCCACUAAAUAGUUUUCUUUUUUUAGUGUUGGUGUAUAUCCGGUUUAUUAUAGAAAGCUAAAGUUUUUUAUGUUAAUGUGUUUUUAAUCCAGGUCGAUAUGCUGCUUAUAAAAGAGGAUAUUAUGCAAUACAUUGUAAAAGUUUUUUUGUAAAAAGAUUAGAUUAAGGACUCCGUAGUAAUAAAAAAUAAGAAUGUUUUUGUGAAUUAGAUUUUAUUAGGGUACACAUCGCCCGUCAAUUUCAAUAUAUAGUU